CCUCUUGUCUGGCCGACACACACAGCAAUAGUAGCAACGGGCUGAUGCUCUAGCAAGACAUCAACUGCUCCGUCCCCUGCCGCGUGUGCGCGACCGUGUGUGUGUGUGUGUGUGUCGGUACAUCCAAAAGUGCCACCCUUGCCGAAGUGGUAACCAAGUGGUCGUUUAUAAUUCACGAACUUCAUUUCAUUUCGUUUUUUUUUUUUGUUUGGUUACUUCAACUUUUAUGCUGCUGUUGCUCUCUCUCUCUCUCUCACUCUCUCUCCACAAUCUGACCUCUUUCCCACGGCCCGAAGCGCGCUAGGCGGAUCACAUCGGUCACAAGAAGUUGAUUGAAGUGUGGUAGGCCGGGAUGAGGGCGGGGAAGGUAGGGCUGGGCUGGAACUUUUCGUUUGAUUGUGUGUGCUGCGUCGCUUGAUUGUUGGUUGGUUGAAAGGUUGAAACAAUAAAACAAACACAAAAAAACGCACUUUUACAGCAA